GUUGGUGUUGAUGACGCUGAGGGUCCACCUGUUCCCAUACCGAACACAGAAGUUAAGCUCAGUGGUGCCGAAAAUACUUGGCUGGUGACGGCCCGGGAAGAUAGGGAAAUGCCAACA
rnacentral:rRNA from 1 species